GUUUUGGGUAAAAUUAGAACCCUUCACUUCAGAAAGAUGAAACCUGUAUGUGUACUUGUACUUGACCAAGUUUUCUUUAUUUGAUUGCAUUGUGGAAAUUUGCUAAUUAUAUUAUUUGGAAUUUUGUGUAAUUUGCAAGUUGACAUACUUGUGUAUGGUAUUUUAUGAUAAUUGUGGUUUACAUACUGUUUUGGUUUAAUUCUUUAUAAAUUGAUUAUUUUCAGCUCACCUGGGCCAAACGGCCAAGUGAGCUUUUCUCAUCACUUGGCGUCCGUCGUCUGUUGUCUGUCGUCGUCGUUAACUUUUACAAAAAUCUUCACCUCUGAAACAACUGGGCAAAAUUUAACCAAACUUGGCCACAAUCAUCAUUGGGGUAUCUAGUUUAAUGUGUCCAGUGACCCGGCCAACCAACCAAGAUGGCGGCCAUGGCUAAAAAUAGAACAUAGGGGUAAAAUGUAGAUUUUGGCUUUUAACUCUGAAACAAAAGCAUUUAGAGCAAAUCUGACAUAGGUUAAUUUGUUAAUCAAGUCAAUAUCUAUCUGCCCUGAAAUUUUCAGAUGAACUGGACAACUGGUUGUUCGGUUGCUGCCCCCCAAUUGGUAAAUUUUAAAGAAAUUUUUGGUGUUAUUAUCUUGAAUAUCAUUAUAGAUAUAGAUAGAGACAAACUGUAAACAGCAAUAAUGUUCAGCAAAGUAAGAUCUAAUGAUAAGUCAACGUGACCAAAAAAGGGUAUUUAUUAUAAAGUUUAUGUUUUCUGGGUCUGUCAAUCAACAGACUUUGUUUAUAAAUAGAACUUUAGCAAGGGUAAAAUACAUAAAUUAUCCAAAAACCUUUAAAAAAAAAACCAUAAAAGAUAGAGAAAAUAUUAAUUAAAAUGUAAACUAUUUCCAAUAUUAUUAGCUGAUGACUCCUUCUGAUAGUUUUAACCUUUAAAAGACCAUAAUAUUUAGUUUUAACCAUUACAAGGCUAUAUUUUUAAUCUAAAAUUUGAGUUUUUGCAUAUAAUCUUUAAUAUGAAUGACAGAGAGAUAGAAACUGUAAACAGUUAAAAAAUGAUUACCAAUGAUUUCCCUUAGAUGAGGUUAUUUGCAUAUUAAUAUCUCAAUGUAUGACAGAUGAGGGAUUAAGGCUUUUGGAAGCCUCUUAGAUCUGAAACUAUCCUUAAAAAUGUUUUUUUUUCAUCUGGGGUUGGUUUAGAAUGUGUCAGCAAGAUCAUUAUUCAUAUGUUAUUAGACUGCUAUAUAAAGAAAAUCAAGUGAAUAAAACUAAAGAUUAUGUGAAAGGAGUGAAGGUAAAAAGUGUUUAUUGUGCUAACCAUUUUUUUAUGCCUCAGUUAUAUUUGUUAAUUGUGCUAACCAGUCUUUUGUGCCACAGUUAUAUUUGACUAGUUGCAGUUUGCUGCUUUUUAAAACAGGUUUACAAUAUUAGUGCUGUAUUUGUUGCUUAUUUAUAAUAUUAGUUGCUUAUUUACAAAUAAAUCAG
rnacentral:lncRNA from 1 species